UACGUAGGGUGCAAGCGUUGUCCGGAAUUAUUGGGCGUAAAGAGCUCGUAGGCGGUCUGUCGCGUCUGCUGUGAAAACUCAGGGCUUAACCCUGAGCUUGCAGUGGGUACGGGCGGACUAGAGUGCGGUAGGGGAGACUGGAAUUCCUGGUGUAGCGGUGAAAUGCGCAGAUAUCAGGAAGAACACCCGUGGCGAAGGCGGUUCUCUGGGACGGUACUGACGCUGAGACGCGAAAGCGUGGGGAGCGAACAGG
rnacentral:rRNA from 1 species